rnacentral:rRNA from 1 species
AGUGAACGCUGGCGGUAGGCCUAACACAUGCAAGUCGAACGGCAGCACAGUAAGAGCUUGCUCUUACGGGUGGCGAGUGGCGGACGGGUGAGGAAUACAUCCGAAUCUACUUUUUCGUGGGGGAUAACGUAGGGAAACUUACGCUAAUACCGCAUACGACCUACGGGUGAAAGCAGUGGAUCUUCUGACCGUGCGCGGUUGAAUGAGCCGAUGUCGGAUUAGCUAGUUGGCGGGGUAAAGGCCCACCAAGGCGACGAUCCGUAGCUGGUCUGAGAGGAUGAUCAGCCACACUGGAACUGAGACACGGUCCAGACUCCUACGGGAGGCAGCAGUGGGGAAUAUUGGACAAUGGGCGCAAGUCUGAUACAGCGAUACCGCGUGGGUGACGAAGGCCUUCGGGUUGUAAAGCCCUUUUGUUGGGAAAGAACAGCAGCCGGUUAAUACCCCGCUGUUCUGACGGUACCCAAAGAAUAAGCACCGGCUAACUUCGUG